rnacentral:rRNA from 1 species
CCUACGGGAGGCAGCAGCAGGGAAUCUUGCGCAAUGGGCGAAAGCCUGACGCAGCGACACCGCGUGAGGGAAGAAGGCCUUCGGGUUGUAAACCUCUUUUCUGGGGGAGGAGAACGGACAGUACCUCAGGAAUAAGGAUCGGCUAACUACGUGCCAGCAGCCGCGGUAAUACGUAGGAUCCGAGCGUUGUCCGGAUUUACUGGGCGUAAAGGGUGCGUAGGCGGCAUAGUAAGUCUCAUGUGAAAUCUCCCGGCUCAACUGGGAGGGGUCAUGGGAAACUGCUACGCUUGAGGGCAGUAGAGGAGAGCGGAAUUCCGGGAGUAGUGGUGAAAUGCGUAGAUACCCGGAGGAACACCCGUGGCGAAAGCGGCUCUCUGGACUGUACCUGACGCUGAGGCACGAAAGCGUGGGGAGCAAACCGGAUUAGAUACCCUUGUA